UACGUAGGUGACAAGCGUUGUCCGGAUUUACUGGGCGUAAAGAGCGCGCAGGCGGUCGAUCAAGUCGAGUGUGAAAGCCCCGGCUCAACUGGGGAGGGUCAUUCGAUACUGAUCGACUCGAAGGCAGGAGAGGGUAGUGGAAUUCCCGGUGUAGUGGUGAAAUGCGUAGAUAUCGGAGGAACACCAGUGGCGAAGGCGACUACCUGCCUGUUCUUGACGCUGAGGCGCGAAAGC
rnacentral:rRNA from 1 species